UACGUAGGGGGCAAGCGUUGUCCGGAUUUAUUGGGCGUAAAGAGCGUGUAGGCGGCUAGGUAGGUCCGCUGUGAAAACUCGAGGCUCAACCUCGAGCUGUCGGUGGAAACCAUCUAGCUAGAGUCCGGAAGAGGAGAGUGGAAUUCCCGGUGUAGCGGUGAAAUGCGCAGAUAUCGGGAAGAACACCCGUGGCGAAGGCGGCUCUCUGGGACGGUACUGACGCUGAGACGCGAAAGCGUGGGGAGCGAACAGG
rnacentral:rRNA from 1 species